GCCGGAAUGGUGGAAUUGGCAGACACGAUACACUCAAAAUGUAUUGUCCGAAAGGGCGUGCGGGUUCAAGUCCCGCUUCCGGCA
rnacentral:tRNA from 1 species